UUUUAAGAAUUGUCCAUCACCUUCAAUUGAGAGUAUCCUGGAAAAUAAAGAUGAAAACUAUGAACUGCCCUCUUCAAUAGUGCAGGCUAAGGCAUUGUCAGUAAUUCCUGCGAAUUCUUCAUUUUCUCCCGCUUCCGAUUCUUUAUGCUUAGAAGAGAAGAACAAUCCUUGCACAAGUAGUAGCAAGACGAGGAUUGAUUAUUGUGAAUAAAUAUGUGCUGAAUGAACAGAAUGAAAGUAAAGAAUGCAAAUUUUCACUACAAAAAUAAAUUGGCAAUCUGUAAGAGUAGGAUUUUGAUGAUGUGCAGCAGCCUACUCGAGAUUCAAAGAGAAUUGGGCCAUCACCUGCAUUUGAAGGAGACUCAUUUAUUUUAGAAAAAGAAAUACACAAGCAAUAUAUGAAGCUGAAAUUGUCAAAACGUUGUCAUAAAGGUUAGCAGUUUUCUGAAUAUAUUUAAGUUGUUGCGUUCUUGUUGGAAUGUCUUUUCCUUAUGUCUAGUUUUCCAUCCAUUUUUAGUUAUUUUUUUAGAUUUGGAUAUUUUUAUGUGUAAGGGGUCUUUUGCUAUGAUCUGCGCACUGCUUUUCAUGUUAGUUUUAUACUCUUUUCUCUCUCUUUUUGUUAAUAAUGUUGAAUUAAUGAUUGCACAUAUGACAACUGGGAAUAAGAAGUGUAGCUUGCAGGACUGCUCCAACAUUACAAAAAAGAGGAAGGAAUGCUCUGCAAGUGUAGGUGAAUGCAAUUUGAAUGAGAGUACAACAGAAAAUAAUGGUGUCUUCUCAAGUGCCAGAUCAUCAGCAAAGUUAUUUCGUAAGAUGCAAGGCAAGUCCAACGUUACAAAAAAGAGGAAGGAGUGCUCUGCAAGUGCAGGUGAAAGCGAUUUGAAUGAGAAUCCAACUAAAAAUGGUGGCGUCUCAUCAAGUGCUCAUUCAUCAACUCAAUUGUUUGGAAAUCUAAGGCACCAAAUUCAGCUUGCUGAGGAUACUUUGAAAGAAGCUAUUGAUUUGAAACAUUCAACUGACC